UGCCAGCAGCGCUGACCCUGGACCCUGGCACUGCCCACCACCGCCUCAUCCUGUCGGACGACUGCACCAUCGUGGCCUACGGCAACCUGCACCCGCAGCCGCUGCAGGACUCGCCGCGCCGCUUCGACGUCGAGGUGUCGGUGCUGGGCGCCGAGGCCUUCGGGGCCGGCGUGCACUACUGGGAGGUGGUGGUGUCCGAAAAAACCCAGUGGAUGAUCGGCCUGGCGCACGAGGCCGUCACCCGCAAGGGCAGCAUCCAGAUCCAGCCCAGCCGCGGCUUCUACUGCAUCGUGAUGCACGACGGGAACCAGUACAGCGCCUGCACCGAGCCCUGGACGCGGCUCAACGUCAAGGGCAAGCUGGAGAAGGUGGGCGUCUUCCUGGACUACGACAAGGGGCUGCUCAUCUUCUACAAUGCCGACGACAUGUCCUGGCUCUACACCUUCAGGGAGAGGUUUCCCGGCAAGCUGUGCUCCUAUUUCAGCCCUGGGCAGAGCCACGCCAACGGCAAGAACGUGCAGCCGCUGCGGAUCAACACCGUCCGUAUCUAGGGGGGGUUUUGGGGUGUCCCCCCCGGCUCUGGCGGGUGUUCCCCCACUCCAGGAACUGGUGCCGGUGCUGGGCAGGGUCUGGCGUUGUGCCUGCUGCUCUCGGUCCUGUGCUUCCAGGGAAUCCCAGUGCGGGGGGCUGGGAUCGGCAAUAAAGGAUUUGGAGAGAAGGGGCUGGGUGGUGGAGAGCCCCAGGGUGGGGGGGCUGGGCUGGGGCACCGUGGGGUGACAUGGCAGGGGUGUGUCACCGUGCUGGGGAUGCCACUCUGUGCUGGGGACAUUGUGGCACUGUGCCAUGGCAGAGGUGUGUCACCAUGCUGGGGUGCCACACUGAGCUGGGGACAUUGUGGCACUGUGCCAUGGCAGAGGUGUGUCACCGUGCUGGGGGUGCCACUCUGUGCUGGGGACAUUGUGCCCUGGUCUGUGACACUGUGGCAUGGCAGGAGUCUGUCACUGUGCUGGGGUGCCACACUGUGCUGGGGACAUUGUGGCACUGUGCCAUGGUGUUCUGUGCCAUGGCAGGGGUCUGUCACCAUGCUGGGGUGCCACACUGAGCUGGGGACAUUGUGCCCUGGUCUCUGUGACACUGUGGCAUGGCAGGGGUCGGUCACUGUGCUGGGGUGCCACUCUGUGCUGGGGACAUUGUGGCAUUGUGCCAUGGUGGGCUGUGCCAUGCCAGGGGUGCCACACUAUGCUGGGACAUUGUGCCAUGGCAGGGGUCUGUCACCAUGCUGGGGGUACCAUGGGUGUCACACCCAUGUGUCAGGGGUCACCAUGCUGUGGGACAUGUACUGUGCCACAUGUACAGCCCCGUGCCCUGAUAUGCCAUGCCAUGCCACGUGUGUAUGCCAGGCUGUGCCAGCCCUGGCAGGGCUCUGUGUGCACUGCAGUGUCCAGGGGCUGUGUGGGAGCUGGGCUGUGCAGGGUGGGCUGUACAGGGGGGCUGAUCUGUGGGCAGUGGGCUGCACACAGGGAUGCUCUGUGCCUGGGUGUGGAACACGGGGGGCUCUGUGAUGUUUUGUGGGGACUCUGUAGGGAUAAGGUGUAUGGGGUUGUGUGUAGGGGCUGGGCUGUGUGGGGCUGUCAUAGGGGUGUGGUGUAUGGAGGGAGCUGUGUGGGGCAGUGCUAACGGGGUGGGCUGUGCAGUAGGGGCAUAGAAGGGGCUGAUCUUGAGGGCCUGGGCUGUGCCAGGACUGUGGGAUAACGGGGGAUGUGUGGCCGUACAGGGGGUGAGC
rnacentral:lncRNA from 1 species